UGAGUGCGAGCUGCUACGGCAGCGAAGUUGGUGACGUCAUGCUUCCAAGAAAAGCCCUACACCCGUUAAGGCAUCAUGGCCUGUACCCGAAACCGACACAGGUGGGGUGGUAGAGAAUACCGAGGGGCGCGAGGUAACUCUCUCUAAGGAACUCGGCAAAAUGGCCCCGUAACUUCGGGAGAAGGGGUGCCACCGCAAGGUGGUCGCAGUGAAGAGGCCCAGGCGACUGUUUACCAAAAACACAGGUCUCCGCUAAGUCGCAAGACGAUGUAUGGGGGCUGACGCCUGCCCAGUGCCUGAAGGUUAAGGAAGCUGGUCAGCGCAAGCGAAGCUGGCGACUGAAGCCCCGGUGAACGGCGGCCGUAACGAUAACGGUCCUAAGGUAGCGAAAUUCCUUGUCGGGUAAGUUCCGACCCGCACGAAAGGCGUAACGAUCUGGGCGCUGUCUCGGAGAGAGGCUCGGCGAAAUAGAAUUGUCUGUGAAGAUGCGGACUACGUGCACCCGGACAGAAAGACCCUAUGAAGCUUUACUGUAGCUUGGUAUUGUGCCCGGGCUCGCAAUGCGCAGGAUAGGUGGGAGGCUUUGAUCAUCGGCUUGCGGGUCGAUGUGAGCCAACGGUGAGAUACCACUCUUUGCGAGCUAGGGUUCUAACGGCCACCCGUCAUCCGGGGGCCGGACAGUACCUGGUGGGCAGUUUGACUGGGGCGGUCGCCUCCUAAAAGGUAACGGAGGCGCGCAAAGGUUUGCUCAGGCUGGUUGGAAAUCAGCCGACGAGUGUAAAAGCAGAAGCAAGCUUGACUGUGAGACCAACAAGUCGAACAGGGAGGAAACUCGGCUUUAGUGAUCCGACGGUUCUGAGUAGAAGGGCCGUCGCUCAACGGAUAAAAGUUACUCUAAGGAUAACAGGCUGAUCUCCCCCAAGAGUUCACAUCGACGGGGAGGUUUGGCACCUCGAUGUCGGCUCAUCGCAACCUGGGGCUGAAGUCGGUCCCAAGGGUUGGGCUGUUCGCCCAUUAAAGCGGUACGCGAGCUGGGUUCAGAACGUCGUGAGACAGUUCGGUCCAUAUCCGGUGCACGCGCAGGAAUAUUGAGAGGAUUUCUCCCUAGUACGAGAGGACCGGGAGGAACGCACCUCUGGUGUACCAGUUAUCGUGCCAACGGUAAACGCUGGGUAGCCAUGUGCGGAGUGGAUAACCGCUGAAAGCAUCUAAGUGGGAAGCCCACCUCAAGAUGAGUAUUCCCAUGGCGUAAGCCAGUAAGGUCACGGGAAGAACACCCGUUGAUAGGCUCUAUGUGGAAGCGCAGUAAUGCGUGAAGCAGAGGAGUACUAAUAGACCGAGGGCUUGACC
rnacentral:rRNA from 1 species